GAUGAACGCUGGCGGCGUGCCUAAUACAUGCAAGUCGAGCGAACAGACGAGGAGCUUGCUCCUCUGACGUUAGCGGCGGACGGGUGAGUAACACGUGGAUAACCUACCUAUAAGACUGGGAUAACUUCGGGAAACCGGCGCUAAUACCGGAUAAUAUAUUGAACCGCAUGGUGCAAUAGUGAAAGACGGUUUUGCUGUCACUUCUAGCUGGAUCCGCGCCGCAUUAGCUAGUUGGUAAGGUAACGGCUUACCAAGGCGACGAUGCGUAGCCGCCCUGAGAGGGUGAUCGGCCACACUGGAACUGAGACACGGUCCAGACUCCUACGGGAGGCAGCAGUAGGGAAUCUUGCGGAAUGGGCGAAAGCUUGACGGAGCAACGCCGCGUGAGGGAUGAAGGUCUUCGGAUCGUAAAACUCUGUUAUUAGGGAGGAACAAAUGUGUAAGUAACUAUGCGCGUCUGGACGGUACCUAAUCAGAAAGCCACGGCUAACUACGUG
rnacentral:rRNA from 1 species